GUCGAGGGGCAGCAUGGAGUCAGCUUGCUGACUUUGAUGGCGACCGGCGCACGGGUGCGUAACACGUAUCCAACCUGCCCGUUACUCGGGGAUAGCCUUUCGAAAGAAAGAUUAAUACCCGAUGGUUUCCCUUAUCCGCAUGGAUUUGGGAUUAAAGAUUUAUCGGUAACGGAUGGGGAUGCGUCCGAUUAGCUUGUUGGCGGGGUAACGGCCCACCAAGGCGACGAUCGGUAGGGGCUCUGAGAGGAGGGUCCCCCACAUUGGAACUGAGCCAUGAUCAAACUC
rnacentral:rRNA from 1 species